rnacentral:rRNA from 1 species
AACGAACGCUGGCGGCGCGCCUAAUACAUGCAAGUCGAGCGAGAAGGUGUAGCAAUACACUUGUAAAGCGGCGAACGGGUGAGGAAUGCAUGGGUAACCUACCCUCGAGUGGGGAAUAACUAGCCGAAAGGUUAGCUAAUACCGCAUACGUUUCCGGAACUUCGGUUUCGGAAAGAAAGCAAUACCGUGGGUAUUGCGCUCCUGGAUGGGCUCAUGUCCUAUCAGCUUGUUGGUGAGGUAACGGCUCACCAAGGCUUCGACGGGUAGCUGGUCUGAGAGGACGAUCAGCCACACUGGCACUGCGACACGGGCCAGACACCUACGGGAGCAGCAGUAAGGAAUAUUGCGCAAUGGACGAAAGUCUGACGCAGCGACGCCGCGUGGGGGGAUGAAGGUCUUCGGAUUGUAAACCCCUUUCGGGAGGGAAGAUGGAGUGGGUAACCACUUGGACGGUACCUCCAGAAGCAGCCACGGCUAACUUCGUGCCAGCAGCCGCGGUAAU